GAUUUCUGGUAUGGUGCGCCUGGCCCACGGUUGCAAAACCGCGAGUGUCGGUGUGCGCCUGCCAUCUUUCUAGUUAACUGGACGCACUUAACUGGGCGGUCAGCGAUCUAGUUCUUUUACUUUGAAAAAAUUAGAGUGUUUAAAGCAGGCUUGCGCUAUGAAUACAUUAGCAUGGAAUAAUAAUUUAGGACUUUUCUCCUAUUUUAUUGGUUUCUAGGAGUGAAGUAAUGAUUGAUAGGGAUAGUUGGGGGUGCUAGUAUUCAGUGGCCAGAGGUGAAAUUCUUGGAUUCACUGAAGACUAACUACUGCGAAAGCAUU
rnacentral:rRNA from 1 species